GAAGAAUGGCUUUCUGUGACGGUCUCAGGCUCACAGCCCACCUCCUCCUGCGCCUCCCUCCUCCGAGAGGGGAGCAGCUCCAGACAGACAGACAGGAGCGGUGGGAGGGGAGACUGGCGCUGACAAUGGCGGUGCGACAUCUCUUGUCUUCUCUGAUGACGUGUUUUUUGAUGGAAGGGUGGGACAACCUGUUGCUCACAUAAAAUUACAGCAAUAGCAAACCACAACCGUCCAACAAUCCAAUCGAUUCCUGAUGGACAAAAUCAAGUCCCAUCCUCCUUUUUUUUCGAUAAGACAUUUUACUCUGAUAUACGUCACAAUAGGGAAGAAAAGAAAAGACUACUGCAACUUCCAUUUCAUGCUGACUUUAAUUCUAAACAUUGUAUCAACAUUUGUUUAAUCAUUUUAUACUUUUCUUUUUUUACAUAUAUAUUUUGCUUUAAAAAUCUUAGUUUAAAAUGUAUGCAUUUGCCUGGUAUUUUUAAUAUUCAUAUUUUUGAGCCACUGUAUGUGUAACUCUUAAUUGGUGAAUGAAGAAAUAUGAAUCUCUGUUUUCUUUUAGAGAAAAUGAAGCCAGUUUUAAAAACAUUCAUUUUUAAUUAAUUUUUGUUACAUAUUUAUGGCAGUUUAAGCAUUCGGGUACUCCACCCAAAUUCUCAUUAUCACCAGUGUUAUUUUAGUAUUUUAUUUCAAAUAACAAAAAGAUUUGUAAUAUUUUUAGUUUCAGUUAACAAUAACAACACUGGUAUUUAUAUAUAUCAUAGUAUUUCAUAUACCGCCUACAUAUUGAUUUAAAUGUUUAACAAUUUUAUUACUUUUUAUUUUAUUGUGUCAGUCAAA